GAUGAACGCUGGCGGCGUGCCUAAUACAUGCAAGUCGAGCGAACAGACGAGGAGCUUGCUCCUCUGACGUUAGCGGCGGACGGGUGAGUAACACGUGGAUAACCUACCUAUAAGACUGGGAUAACUUCGGGAAACCGGAGCUAAUACCGGAUAAUAUAUUGAACCGCAUGGUUCAAUAGUGAAAGACGGUUUUGCUGUCACUUAUAGAUGGAUCCGCGCCGCAUUAGCUAGUUGGUAAGGUAACGGCUUACCAAGGCAACGAUGCGUAGCCGACCUGAGAGUGGGGUGGGCCACAAGGGAAAUAAGACACGGAGGGGAGGACGACGAGAGGAGCAAGGCGGGAAGCGUAAGGAAUGGGUGAAAGCGUAACGUAGCAAUGGUGCGUGAAGGAUAAAGGUCUACUGAUCGUAGAACCAGGGGACUAGAGAAGACAAAAAAGACAAGUAAAUCUGCACGUCAGGACGGUCGCUAAUCAGAGAACAACGGCUAACUACGGG
rnacentral:rRNA from 1 species